rnacentral:snoRNA from 1 species
UACUUGUGAUGUGGACAUUUCAAGAGUACCCCGUUGAAUCGCUCCCAUGCUUCCAAAAAUUGCUUAUCCUAUCUCUAAAUAAACUCUAAGAUUUCCCUACAAAUAGCA